rnacentral:rRNA from 1 species
AUUGAACGCUGGCGGCAGGCCUAACACAUGCAAGUCGAACGGUAACAGGAAGCAGCUUGCUGCUUUGCUGACGAGUGGCGGACGGGUGAGUAAUGUCUGGGAAACUGCCUGAUGGAGGGGGAUAACUACUGGAAACGGUAGCUAAUACCGCAUAACGUCGCAAGACCAAAGAGGGGGACCUUAGGGCCUCUUGCCAUCGGAUGUGCCCAGAUGGGAUUAGCUAGUAGGUGGGGUAACGGCUCACCUAGGCGACGAUCCCUAGCUGGUCUGAGAUGAUGACCAGCCACACUGGAACUGAGACACGGUCCAGACUCCUACGGGAGGCAGCAGUGGGGAAUAUUGCACAAUGGGCGCAAGCCUGAUGCAGCCAUGCCGCGUGUAUGAAGAAGGCCUUCGGGUUGUAAAGUACUUUCAGCGGGGAGGAAGGGAGUAAAGUUAAUACCUUGGCUCAUUGACGUUACCCGCAGAAGAAGCACCGGCUAACUCCGUG